UACGUAGGGGGCAAGCGUUGUCCGGAAUUACUGGGCGUAAAGCGCACGUAGGUGGCGACGUAAGUCGGGUGUGAAAGCCCCGGGCUCAACCUGGGAAUUGCAUUCGAGACUGCAUUGCUGGAGUACGGAAGAGGAAGGCGGAAUUCCCGGUGUAGCGGUGAAAUGCGUAGAUAUCGGGAGGAACAUCAGUGGCGAAGGCGGCCUUCUGGUCCAGUACUGACGCUGAGGUGCGAAAGCGUGGGGAGCAAACAGG
rnacentral:rRNA from 1 species